UAGAACAUGAAACCGUAAGCUGACAAGCAGUGGGAGGGGCAAAGACCCUGACCGCGUGCCUGUUGAAGAAUGAGCCGGCGACUUAUAGGAAGUGGCAGGGUUAAGAUGUUAAAUUCGGAGCCCAAGCGAAAGCGAGUCUGAAUAGGGCGUUAAAGUCACUUCUUAUGGACCCGAACCCGGAUGAUCUAACCAUGACCAGGAUGAAGC
rnacentral:rRNA from 1 species